AGCGAACGCUGGCGGCAGGCUUAACACAUGCAAGUCGAGCGGGCCCUUCGGGGUCAGCGGCGGACGGGUGAGUAACGCGUGGGAAUGUGCCUUCUGGUCUGGAAUAACCCUGGGAAACUAGGGCUAAUACCGGAUACGCCCUUUUGGGGAAAGGUUUACUGCCGGAAGAUCGGCCCGCGUCUGAUUAGCUAGUUGGUGGGGUAACGGCCUACCAAGGCGACGAUCAGUAGCUGGUCUGAGAGGAUGAUCAGCCACACUGGGACUGAGACACGGCCCAGACUCCUACGGGAGGCAGCAGUGGGGAAUAUUGGACAAUGGGCGCAAGCCUGAUCCAGCCAUGCCGCGUGAGUGAUGAAGGCCUUAGGGUUGUAAAGCUCUUUUAUCCGGGACGAUAAUGACGGUACCGGAGGAAUAAGCCCCGGCUAACUUCGUG
rnacentral:rRNA from 1 species